UCUCUUUGAAGCUGGCGCAGAAGAAACACUUUGUCCCAGUUGCGUUAUUGACUCCUCCCCUUUCCAGGGCGCAACACAGACACGGUCCUUGUUCUUCUGAGAGGUUCUGCGGGUGAGAACAACAGAAACAGCUGCAGUCUCAAGCUCCACUAUCGACUGCAAUCAUGAUCAAAUUGUUGCUUGUGGCGAUUGUUGCACUGGUGACCUUUUCAGUGGAACCAGUUCCUACAAAAUCACCCUGCGACUAUCCAACCCACAUCCAAUGCUGGACGGAUUGGUUUGACAGAGAUGACCCCUCUGGAUCUGGAGACUGGGAAACCCUCUCCAGUCUUCGUACUGAGAACCCAGGAAAGAUCUGCCCCAGACCAAUCGAAAUCGAACC